AUAAUCCGGGGAAACCUGGCCUAAUACCGGAUGCGCCCUUCGGGGGAAAGAUUUAUCGCCAUUAGAGCGGCCCGCGUCUGAUUAGCUUGUUGGUGGGGUAAUGGCCCACCAAGGCUACGAUCAGUAGCUGGUCUGAGAGGAUGAUCAGCCACACUGGGACUGAGACACGGCCCAGACUCCUACGGGAGGCAGCAGUAGGGAAUCUUGCGCAAUGGGCGAAAGCCUGACGCAGCCAUGCCGCGUGAAUGAUGAAGGUCUUAGGAUUGUAAAAUUCUUUCAGCGGGGAAGAUAAUGACUGUACCCGCAGAAGAAGCUCCGGCUAACUUCGUGCCAGCAGCGCCGGUAAUAAUCUAGA
rnacentral:rRNA from 1 species